UAGCAAUCUUUGUCUUAGCUCUGCCUUUAAUUUCCUUUUUUUCUUUUAUUUUGGACUAGAUCCUCAACAGAGGAGGCCCAAGGAUGGGAAUUGGGAAUGGGGGAUGCAUUAAAGACACUGUGGAGGUGCAAACACCUGGGCUGGCCUGAGAUGCUGCAGGAGAUGAUGGAGCAACCAACAGACACCUCCUGUGUCAUCAGCAAAAGCUCCUGUGGUCUCCAGCCCUCAGGAGGGGCUGGCACAGCCCCCAGCUGCAGUUCUGUGCAGAAGAAUUCAGCGCUCACUGAGUCCAAGAGGAAGAGAUUAUUGUCCCAAAGCUUGGUGCCCUGGGACACGGCAGCUAUGUGCCCUGGCUCAAGGCUUUUGCAUUGUUGACUAUUUUGCGAGCAAUAUCUGAAUGGCUCUUGAAACACAGACUGAAACCAUCUCUUGCUUUUUCCAGCUGGAUUCUUGAUUGUGGUGAGGAUGUUGUUGUAUCUCCAUGCUAUCCAGUACUCUGGGAAUUAGUUUUUCUGAAGUGAGUUUCUGAAAAGGAGCUAGGCACCAAGAUCAGCACAAAUGCCAAUGGGUUAUCCGUGGCCUUGGAUAAAUCAUGGGAAUGACUCUGACAUACCCUGGGUUUGCUUUGUUGCCUGUUGGGGCAGCAGCAGUGGAGUUAUGUGAUGUGGUUCAUUCCCCAGUGCCAUUACCAGAGGGAUAUCAAUCACUGUCACUGCACCAACAAAAUUGGUUAUCCUGCUGGGUGCUGACAAUGAAAGCACAGAACAGUGCAAAGGCAAGAGGACACUAUUUGUGUACAUGGAGAGGAGUUCCUCUUGUUGCUUCUCUACCCAGGGUCUUGGAAAUUGCUGGUUUCCAAAAUUUUGUGUGAAGCCCAUAAAGACAGCAGAGUAAUGUAAAUUGUUCGCCCAUCCAGCCAACCCCUGAUUAUAAAGCACAUCUAACAGAACUGACAAAAGCUGAGAUAAAUGGACAUCCAUUGGGAAAAUGAAAAAAUGAGUGAUAUUCAUCCUAGAGGAACCUAUAAAACUGCAACACUGUCUUUUCAUAAAAGAGCUACAGGACUAGAGGUCUGGAUUCACAUAAUAGGACUCAUAUGACAAUAACUAGACAAGAAACACAAAAACGCCUCAGCAUCUAAAGAAAAUCAAUGUUUUCAUCUCACAACAGCCUUGUGGUAGCCUUGUGAUUAGCUGUGGCAUUCUCUUGUUCUCAGAGUAAUGAGUAUGUAAAACUGUGUUUUGUAUACAAUUUCUGGGCACCAUGUCAGCUCUUUAGUAUCACUUGAAAGGGAGAUCAGUGGGAAGGAUGCCAUGGCAGUGACUAGAAAAUAACUUUGCAAGUCUUGCUUGUUUCCUCUCUCCUUCAGCCUUCU
rnacentral:lncRNA from 1 species